GCCCUCUCAGGAUCGCACCUGGAGAGUUUCUAGUACUCUACCAGUCUCGGCUUCGAGAGGAAGAGUCAAGCUAAGACAUACCCAUUCCAUUCCUAGCUUGGGCAGUGGCUAGCGAGUGGCAGGCCAUCUGCUACAAGU